rnacentral:ncRNA from 1 species
UUCGUUCAUCCCCUUGGGGACGCAAAUGCCGACUGAAGGAACGGAUA